GAGAGCGAUAAGUCGAGAUGGGAUGGACUACGGCAAUGCCUCGGCAGCCGUGUAUCGCGGGUUCGAAUCCCGCCGCUCUCG
rnacentral:tRNA from 1 species